CAGCAGCCACGGUAAUACAGAGGGUGCGAGCGUUAAUCGGAUUUACUGGGCGUAAAGCGUGCGUAGGCGGCUUCUUAAGUCGGAUGUUAAAUCCCUGAGCUUAACUUGAAUUGCAUUCGAUACUGGGAAGCUAGAGUAUGGGAGAGGAUGGUAGAAUUCCAGGUGUAGCGGUGAAAUGCGUAGAGAUCUGGAGGAAUACCGAUGGCGAAGGCAGCCAUCUGGCCUAAUACUGACGCUGAGGUACGAAAGCAUGGGGAGCAAACAGGAUUAGAUACCCGUGUAGUCCCUGUCUCUUAUACAC
rnacentral:rRNA from 1 species